GGUUAAAGAAGCAUCCUUAUUCUCAAGACAAGUUUGCCAAAGAAUGCCAGCAAUCAAUUUCUCACUGCAUUAACUGUGAAGGCACAACACAAGGGGAAUAUUAAGGAUGGGAAAUUACAAACGAUGUAAAAAGGAGGAUAGAGAGUUUGCUACAGCAUCACACACUCCAACAAGAUGGUCAGUUCCUCCAAAAUGGGAGAGGAAAGUGCAGUCCAGACAUUCAAAGUUUAAAACAAUGCAUUAGUUUCGAAUUUCAAGACUUAAGGUCAGAUUUCCUACCAGAAGGAU